rnacentral:rRNA from 1 species
AUGGAUACACCAAGUUCUUCUCUGAUACGUGUACGACAAGACGCGGGAGAACGACUUCAUGGACCGACAAGUCACACGACGACCGUUGUCCGCCAACUACCCCUUCGGAGCGUCAAGUUUGACUACCAUCACCGUGAUCGCGAAAACCUCUACUUCCCCUUCAAAACAUGUACCACGACCGUCGCUGAAGACCCCGUGGACGCCAAGUUCCGUAUCGUGACCCCGAACAUCUACGGACAUGAACGACUACUUCCUCUUCGACUUUUGAACCACUACUUCCACUACGGCAUGAGUACAACUACUACCUUUACGAACGUGGCGAGAACGCCUACUUUCGCUACGAACUUGAUCCGUUCCGAAAAGGCAUGCUUCGAAGCUUCGAUUUCGUUCCGAAGUUGUGAGGAUCCGUUCAUCUACGUCCAUUUAUCUUCUUCAUGGACUCGUUCUUCUUCCUUGCGGGAUUUCAGGUGCCGACGAUAUCGUGCAGGUGACACAGCCAAGCUCAAUGAGGAGCGCGAUGAAGUUCGUGUUCGUUAA